rnacentral:tRNA from 1 species
GGUGCAGCUUGGUGAGGGCGCCCUGGGGGCGGCGGGCCCCCGUCGUGCGCCCGUGCGCCGUGCGGGCCCGCGAGCGCCGCCCGGCCGCGCCC